GUUUCUGCAGCGCAAUGGAGAGCGCGUUGGACUCCUUAUCCAAAGGUCGUGGAUUCGAAUCCCAACUGGGAUG